AUUCGGGGCGUGGACCGA
rnacentral:snRNA from 1 species